GUGGAUUAGUGGCGAACGGGUGAGUAACACGUGAGUAACCUGCCCUUCACUUUGGGAUAACUCCGAGAAAUCGGGGCUAAUACUGGAUAUGACUACUGGCCGCAUGGUUGGUGGUGGAAAGUUUUUCGGUGGGGGAUGGGCUCGCGGCCUAUCAGUUUGUUGGUGAGGUAGUGGCUCACCAAGGCGAUGACGGGUAGCCGGCCUGAGAGGGCGACCGGCCACACUGGGACUGAGACACGGCCCAGACUCCUACGGGAGGCAGCAGUGGGGAAUAUUGCACAAUGGGCGAAAGCCUGAUGCAGCGACGCCGCGUGGGGGAUGACGGCCUUCGGGUUGUAAACCUCUUUCAGCAAGGAAGAAGCGAAAGUGACGGUACUUGCAGAAGAAGCGCCGGCUAACUACGUGCCAGCAGCCGCGGUAAUACGUAGGGCGCAAGCGUUGUCCGGAAUUAUUGGGCGUAAAGAGCUUGUAGGUGGCUUGUCGCGUCUGCCGUGAAAACCCGAGGCUUAACCUUGGGCGUGCGGUGGGUACGGGCAGGCUAGAGUGCGGUAGGGGAGACUGGAAUUCCUGGUGUAGCGGUGAAAUGCGCAGAUAUCAGGAGGAACACCGAUGGCGAAGGCAGGUCUCUGGGCCGUUACUGACACUGAGAAGCGAAAGCAUGGGGAGCGAACAGGAUUAGAUACCCUGGUAGUCCAUGCCGUAAACGUUGGGCACUAGGUGUGGGGAGCAUUCCACGUUUUCCGCGCCGUAGCUAACGCAUUAAGUGCCCCGCCUGGG
rnacentral:rRNA from 1 species